AUUGAACGCUGGCGGCAGGCCUAACACAUGCAAGUCGAACGGUAACAGGAAGCAGCUUGCUGCUUUGCUGACGAGUGGCGGACGGGUGAGUAAUGUCUGGGAAACUGCCCGAUGGAGGGGGAUAACUACUGGAAACGGUAGCUAAUACCGCAUAACGUCGCAAGACCAAAGAGGGGGACCUUAGGGCCUCUUGCCAUCGGAUGUGCCCAGAUGGGAUUAGCUAGUAGGUGGGGUAACGGCUCACCUAGGCGACGAUCCCUAGCUGGUCUGAGAGGAUGACCAGCCACACUGGAACUGAGACACGGUCCAGACUCCUACGGGAGGCAGCAGUGGGGAAUAUUGCACAAUGGGCGCAAGCCUGAUGCAGCCAUGCCGCGUGUAUGAAGAAGGCCUUCGGGUUGUAAAGUACUUUCAGCGGGGAGGAAGGGAGUAAAGUUAAUACCUUUUCUAAUUGACGUUACCCGCAGAAGAAGCACCGGCUAACUCCGUG
rnacentral:rRNA from 1 species